rnacentral:tRNA from 2 species
UCGGGAUAGCUCACCUGGUAGAGCAGAGGACUGAAAAUC